AUGCCGCGCACGUACAAGCAGCUCGCCUCCGUCACCGCCGGGGGCGUGGCUGCCAAGAAGGACGUCGGCAAGAUGGCGACGCACAUCAAGAAGCUCCUCGGGGAGGAAGACGGCCAGGUGAUGGACAUCGGCGUCGUCAGCGCCUCCGACUACCUGCGCCGCUUCUGCUCCCGGCUCGGCCUGGGCAACCAGGAGGUGCGUAACGCGCAGGACGCCGUGCGGAGGGUCGAGGAAGGCCUCGACGUGCGCCGCAACCCGGACUCUGUCGCCGCCGCCAUCAUCUACAUGGUCGUGCAGCGUGCCGGCGCAGGCAGGUCCGCCAAGGACGUGUCUGUCGCCACCGGCGUCGCCGAGGGCACCAUCAAGGAGGUGCACAAGGACCUCACCCCGCACGCCCAGAUGCUCUUCGGCUGA
rnacentral:rRNA from 1 species